rnacentral:rRNA from 1 species
UACGUAGGGUGCAAGCGUUGUCCGGAAUUAUUGGGCGUAAAGCGCGUGUAGGCGGCUCUGCAAGUCGGAUGUGAAAUCCCACGGCUCAACCAUGGAAGUGCAUUCGAAACUGCAGGGCUAGAGUCCUGGAGAGGAAGGUGGAAUGCUUGGUGUAGAGGUGAAAUUCGUAGAUAUCAAGCGGAACACCGGUGGCGAAGGCGGCCUUCUGGACAGUGACUGACGCUGAGACGCGAAAGCGUGGGGAGCAAACAGG